UACGUAGGGCGCAAGCGUUUAUCCGGAAUUAUUGGGCGUAAAGAGCUCGUAGGCGGUUUGUCGCGUCUGCUGUGAAAGACCGGGGCUCAACUCCGGUUCUGCAGUGGGUACGGGCAGACUAGAGUGCGGUAGGGGAGAUUGGAAUUCCUGGUGUAGCGGUGGAAUGCGCAGAUAUCAGGAGGAACACCAAUGGCGAAGGCAGAUCUCUGGGCCGUAACUGACGCUGAGGAGCGAAAGCAUGGGGAGCGAACAGG
rnacentral:rRNA from 1 species